AAUUCUUCGCUCUUUCUUUAUGCUUAAUGCUUGAUUUCAUCUGUUUAUUCAUUCAAUCCACAGUCUCAAACGAAAAAGAAUGACUUCUGUAUUGGAUUGGAAUACCCAUCUAUAUUCACAGUGUGAUGAAAAAUUAGAUAUAUCU